GAUUCCUACAGAAUUAGGAUAAUGGCUUCUUAUGACUGGAUAGUUCGAUGUAAACAGCUUUCUCCGGCUCCCUAAGGGAGUGCCAUGCACUUUCCGGUCCACUAUGAAGGGUCGAACUUCACCUGGCUAUACAUUCAAAAUUGAGAAGUCCAUUUGUUUUCGUUGGGAGCUUGUGUUACUAGGAGCAUGAGAGCCUGGGGGUGUGGGAGCCUGAGGGCCUGGGAGCCUGGGGGACCUGGGAGCCUGGGGGCCUGGGAGCUUGGGAGCUUGUUAGGCUGGGGGCCUGGGAGCUUGGGAGCUUGUUAGGCUGGGGUCCUGGGAGCCUGGGAGUUUGGGAACCUGGAAGCCUGGGGAGCCUGGGAGCCUGGGAGCCUGGGAGCUUGGGAGUCUGGGGGCCUGGGGGCCUGGGAGCCUGGGGGCCUGGGGGCCUGGGAGCCUGGGGGCCUGGGAGCUUGGGAGCCUGGGGGCCUGGAAGCCUGGGGACCUGGGAGCCUGGGGUCCUGGGAGCCUGGGGACCUGGGAGCCUGAAAGCUUGGGAGCCUGGGGGCCUGGGAGCUUGGGAGCCUGGGGGCCUGGGAGCCUGGGAGCUUGGGAGCCUGGGGGCCUGGGGGCCUGAGAGCCUGGGAGCCUGGGGGCCUGGGAGCCUGGGGACCUGGGAACCUGGGAGCCUGGGAGCUUGGGAGCCUGGGGGCCUGGGAGCCUGGGAGCCUGGGGGCCUGGGAGCCUGGGGGCCUGAAAGCCCGGGGGCCUGGGAGCCCAGGGUCCUGGGAGCCUGGGAGCUUGGGGACCUGGGGGCCUGGGUACCUGGGGGCCUCGGAUCUUGGGAGCCUGGGGGCCUGGGAGCCUGGGAGCUUGGGAGCCUGGGAGCCUGGGGGCCUGGGAGCCUGGAGNNNNNNNNNNNNNNNNNNNNNNNNNNNNNNNNNNNNNNNNNNNNNNNNNNUGUCGACAAGCAUGCAAAAGGUCCUGAUUCCUCAGCACUAGCUUCCACCGUCGCACGCUAGACCGGUUCGCGAGCAGCCCACACCGUCGGCGCUGCAGCUGCCCACAACAGACUUCCAUGCCCCGUCGGCGUCGGUGGUGAAGCCACCCGCAUCAGACCGGCAUGCCCCGUCGGCACCAGAGCCGCAGGCAGAACUUCAUCGUUUUCAUCAUUACUUUCAGGUCUUAGGUGUUAUCAUUACCAAAAUUUUAUCGAACUUCAUUGUUACUUGAGGUCUUAGGUGUUACGGACUGUGAGGGUGUUCCACUUCCAACUUCAAUUUAAAGGAAACAGAAAAUAUAAAUUUGCUCAUUUCAUUUUUCAUUUGCGCGUACAUGUGUGUGUGUCUCCAUGUGUCUCAAAGCAACCCAAACAUAGCGAAGACCGGUCGCGCGCGUCGGCCUGACAGCUCAAAACGCUGGCUAUGGUCAUACUUUAUCACUAGGACAUGAUUGGGGGCGUCGAGCAACACCUUUUCGGUCCAAAUUCGGCGGGUCCGGUUCCGGUCCAGUGGCCGGUCGCAAAGGCUGUCGUACCCGGUCCGGCUGGCGGGGCUAACCAUAGUUAGAGAGUAGGGUCGGGCUGGAGCCAACUAUAGCACAGCCAGAGACUCUUGAUCCUGAGUAAGGUAAUUAUUACAAAGACGAUAACACUUGUUAGUUUGAUGCUGCAAUGAGUGGCAAUGCACAAUGAGACAGGUACAGAUCCUGCCUGUGGGUCGCCGCUGUACUGCCAAGAGAUUGGCUGGCGCUAAUGAAAGGCACCAACGGCGAAUAUAUUUGAGGUGGAACCAUUCUGUUUAUUCAUGCAAGCAGCUAACCGCGGUCUAUGUGAGCGAGGUAGUUCGACUGUGCAAGCAUGGCAGUCCAGCAGCCAAGCUGGCUAAGUCGUAUUCAUUUCUUUAACUUUAUGUCCGUGUAUAUUUUGCAUUUUUGUGUUAUGUUGUGUUCAUUGUUCAUUUCUUCUCUUCCGUCAGCGGUUGCUCCAGAUCCGUGGUCAAGGUUGGAUAUUACUUGUGCUGGGCUAAAUAGCAUCAAGUUCAAAUCCUUUCCAGACUGCUUAUGCACACAGUCGCUUGACUACUUUCGCUGUACAUUCGAAAAUGGGAAGUCCAUUUGCUUCCAGAGGGGAUUUCCACGUUUAAAUUGGCUUGAUUCCUACAGAAUUAGGAUAAUGGCUUCUUAUGACUGGAUAGUUCGAUGUAAACAGCUUUCUCCGGCUCCCUAAGGGAGUGCCAUGCACUUUCCGGUCCACUAUGAAGGGUCGAACUUCACCUGGCUAUACAUUCAAAAUUGAGAAGUCCAUUUGUUUUCGUUGGGAGCUUGUGUUACUAGGAGCAUGAGAGCCUGGGGGUGUGGGAGCC
rnacentral:lncRNA from 1 species